CGUGGCCUGUCGUCCUGACAACCGUGAGCGUUCGUGCUCUGCGGAGUUCACUUUUCCCCAGGCAAAGGUCCUGCUUCUCUCAUGGGUCCCAAGUCAAAAAAGACUCCCGGUAAGAAAAAGAUGACCAAAGCUGAGCGACUGCGGCUGCUGCAGGAGGAGGAGGAGAGACGCCUGAAGGAGGAAGGUACUGAGUGCCCGGAUGUCCGGCCGGAUCCCAUAGCACAGAGCAUUAGCCAUGGGUUCAUGCCCCCAUGACCACUCGGCAUUUUCAACAGGUUUUAAUUUUAUCAAGGAUUCCUACUACUCACAGCGUAGACCAUCAGUGCACACAGCCAUAUCUGGGUGUGCACUGAAGUCUUGCUGCCAGAUAAGAGUUCAGAGAAGCUCAUACAGUUUCGCUGAUCUUUUCAUCUUUUGCACCGCACAAUAUUUGGGCCGUAUUUAAUGGCCCAAAGUUUUUAAGCCAAAAAAAAAAUCAUUGCUUCUCAGAAAUUCAAAUUCAGGCGAUCAGCCCAUGUUUUUGUCUGCUGAUUUUGUCUGACCUGCCUUAAAGUGUUUAUGAUCUGAUGAUGAAAAACGGGCACAUUGGUGCCGACUGUGUGGUAAGAAUCCUGGACCUAAAAUUUAUUAGCGAUGAGAAGUACACACUAGCAAAAGCUGCAUACAACAGCCGAACUUGUUUUUUUCAACCCUGAGGGUUUUAAAAAAGAUCUAUGCUGUUUAUUUUUGGUUAUGUGUGUAUGUGUGUCUGAACAUGAGUAUGCCCAAGUGAAUUCAGAUGCUCAUGGUGGCCAGAGGUGUUGGAUUCCUCUGGAUCUGGGUACAGGAAGUUGUGAACCACAUGAUAUGGGUGUUAAGAACUAAAUUUGGAUGGGUCCUCUGCAAGAACAGUGCAUGCUUUUAACUUCCUGAGCCCAGUUUCUCAAUGUUUAACAAUAUCUCUUUGCUAGUUAAACUAGAAAUCCCAUUCAUUGAUAUUAAACAAUGAUAAAAAAAUUGGCAAAUUAUUAGAAAGUGCUUUUUAAAGACUGUAUGACCCUGGAGGUUACAGCUAUUAGAACUCAGUUUCUAUAGAUUUAUAUUCAGGAUUUUUAAGGAUUCCUUUGGCUU